UGGCGCACGGGUGCGUAACGCGUAACCAACCUGCCCCGAUCUGGGGGAUAGCCCGCCGAAAGGCGGAUUAAUACCGCAUAUACCCGCAGCCUGGCAUCAGGCAACGGGGAAAGAUUUAUUGGAUCGGGAUGGGGUUGCGUGACAUUAGCUAGUUGGCGGGGUAACGGCCCACCAAGGCGACGAUGUCUAGGGGACCUGAGAGGGUGAUCCCCCACACUGGCACUGAGAUACGGGCCAGACUCCUACGGGAGGCAGCAGUAGGGAAUAUUGGGCAAUGGGCGAGAGCCUGACCCAGCCAUGCCGCGUGCCGGAUGAAGGCCUUCUGGGUUGUAAACGGCUUUUCUCAGGGAAGAAAACGACCUUGCGAGGUACACUGACGGUACCUGAGGAAUAAGCACCGGCUAACUCCGUGCCAGCAGCCGCGGUAAUACGGAGGGUGCAAGCGUUGUCCGGAUUUAUUGGGUUUAAAGGGUGCGUAGGCGGCUUGUUAAGUCCGGGGUGAAAGCCCACUGCUCAACAGUGGAACUGCCCUGGAUACUGGCAAGCUUGAGUCCAGACGAGGUUGGCGGAAUGGAUGGUGUAGCGGUGAAAUGCAUAGAUACCAUCCAGAACCCCGAUUGCGAAGGCAGCUGACUAGGCUGGUACUGACGCUGAGGCACGAAAGCGUGGGGAGCGAACAGGAUUAGA
rnacentral:rRNA from 1 species